rnacentral:lncRNA from 1 species
AAACAAAGGCGUGCAUUCCAUACAUUUCCUAAGAAAGGAAAGCCAGCACAGAAACCUCCACCUCUGUGCUCUCUCAGUUAAACCUCAAGAGUCUGGGGCCUCAAGUUUGAAGUUGUCUUCCUGCCUCUUGGGGUUUUAAAAAGACUCCAAAGUGCUUCAAACCACUACAGCUGCGUCUUGGUUUAUGGCUCAAAUUUAAACCACAAAUUAUAAAAUGAUAAAUCGCUGCUCAAGUCUCUUCCAGGAAAGACUAUGUCGUCAAGAUUAAGUUACAACCCCAUGGACGUAUGAGCAAGUCUAGCUGCUGACUAAUUCUCACACCCAUUUUCCUGCGAGAGACAUUUUCUCUCCACGAACUUUCGCUGUAUCUGACCACUUCACACAAAGAAAAUGACUGCAGGCAGGGAAAACACAAGAAGCAACUUAACCCACGGAGCUGCUGCAUGCUUUAUUAUAUAAUGGCUGCUUUCUUUUCAUAAGCACCAAAGGAAGUCUAAGAAACAUCUUCCUUCUUCAGCACUUAACUGCCAGGGAAUUGGGAGAAAUAACGUCGCGUCGCAUGGCCAGCUGCGCUCACCUCACCCACUAAUUGGAAGGCUCCGCCGUCACACUGACCUCAUUUUGACUACCUGGGGUUGAAGGAAGCAGCUCGACAUCCAUCAUGUUCCACCAGCACAGCGCCUUAGUUACACAACCGUGACCCGGUUUCUCCAAGGCCAUUCAAGCCUCGAGGACCAUCAGGUCAUGAGUCAUAAUCCUUCCAGCAUUCGCUCCUGAAUUCAUCCCCUAUUCAUUUACAC